GUCUACGGCCAUGCCACCCUGAACAAGGCCAAUCCCAUCUGAUCUUGGAAGCUAAGCAGGGUUAGGCCUGGUUAGUACUUGGACGGGAGACCACCUAGGAAGACCAAGUGCUAUAGGUG
rnacentral:rRNA from 1 species